rnacentral:lncRNA from 1 species
AUGGGACAGGACAAGACAGGACAGGACAGGAUGGGACAGGACACAGCCAACUCACAUUUGCGGAUGAAAGGAGAUCCCUGGCUGGGCCAGACCCACGGACCCUUCGAAGCGAAGCCCUUUUGGAUCUGGCUCUCCCAGCCAGGCUUACAUUGUACACUCAAGCCACUAACAAGGUACGGGAUUCUGGGACUGAGCCCAUAUGACAGAGGAGCACAUAGUAAAGAAGCAGCAGCCCUGGGUAAGGGAUCGGUAGAUGGGGCUCGACUUUGUACUUGCUGGGUGACUUUGGAUAGGUCCCUUCCACACUCUGGGCCCUUGGGUUUCCUCCUCCAGAAAAUGAAGGAGUUGAGUGAGCUAGGUCUCCUCUGAGGUCCCUUCCAGCUCUGGCCACUGAGCCCCUGGCAGGCAGGUCCUCCGAUAGAAGAGAUGACAUGCGUCACCCCAGUCCCUUCUCCUGCAGCAGUCUCAGAUGUUCUGGCUUCCAUUCCCCAUUGGCUGAGUACCUGCAUCCCUAAGUCAUACCAGCCUAGAAGCCCAAGCUGAGUGGAACCUGGACUAGAGGGGGGUCAUGUGGAGAAAUGGGACAAGCCUCCCCAGCCGAGGGCAUGGCCCCGCUUCCUGGAUGGAGGGCAGAGACUGCCCAUAGCCUGCUACUGAAAACCAGCACCACCUCGCACCCUAUGCCCCCAUGAUAAGUGAGGCUCCUCAGCCACUGACGAGCAGAUCUGCUCAGAUCCAUGAGACCUCUAAGUCCUCCCUCCUGCCCCUGGAGUUUUACCCACCUCACCAGCAAACAGCAAGGCCAACUUGAGGUGGAGAUGGCAACUAACCCUCACCCCCUUUGACGCUGGGUUUGAAAGGCUUAACCUCUAGCCCAGAAGAGCUCCUAAAACCUUGACUUACAAUUCUGUCCACUGCCAGACUGGAAGGUGGCUAGCCUCGCUACCAGGUCUAGGCAGCCACACCCUGGGGCAGUGCUGUUCCCCCAAUGGCAACUCUCAGAAUCACUUGAGCUGACCCAUCAUUAUCACUUGACAUCCACCUCAAGGUGUAGCCUUGUGACUGGACUCCAAGUCAACAGAUGGUGCCUGAGUAUCAUGAGCAGAUGCGGAGCUGGGCAAGCUCCCCAGGCACCCGGGCUGGCCAGACUGAGGACUGAAGGAGCAAGACAGUUUGGAGGAGGGAGGGUUGCAACAGACUGGCAGCUCACCAUUGCAGAAUGACCAUAGUCAUUGGCUUCCCCUGCCACUCUGCAGUGCAUGCUGGGAAGUCUAUUUUGGGCCUGAUGCUUGCUAGGGCCAGACAGCCAUGGCUAAUUGAGAAGUGGGAAUGGUAUUGGGCACAAAGGUAUUGGGCACAGUAGGGAGAG